rnacentral:pre_miRNA from 1 species
GAUUUCAACUGAAAAAGUCAUCAACAACAAAGUUAUAUAACUCAUCAGGAUCUAUAACUUUUAUUUUGGUCAUUUCUUCAUCCGACAAAGUGAUAGUAACAUUGUUCACAAAAUUUGCAUCUAUCUUAUUUGGUUCUAUAAACUAUAAGAGAGAUAUGUAAACUUUGUGAACAAUAUUAUUAUCAAUUUAUCGGAUGAAGAAAUGACCAAAAUAAAAGUUGUAUGUCUUGAUGAGCUCUACAACUUUUAUGUUCAUGACUUUUUCAGCUGAAAUU